rnacentral:hammerhead_ribozyme from 1 species
GCCGAAACGCCCCCAAAGGGGCGUCCGCCGGGGAUGACCUCCCGGCGCUGAUGAUGGCAG